rnacentral:rRNA from 1 species
CCUACGGGAGGCAGCAGUGGGGAAUUUUGGACAAUGGGCGCAAGCCUGAUCCAGCAAUGCCGCGUGCAGGAUGAAGGCCUUCGGGUUGUAAACUGCUUUUGUACGGAACGAAACGGUCUGCCCUAAUACGGUGGGCUAAUGACGGUACCGUAAGAAUAAGCACCGGCUAACUACGUGCCAGCAGCCGCGGUAAUACGUAGGGUGCGAGCGUUAAUCGGAAUUACUGGGCGUAAAGCGUGCGCAGGCGGUUAUAUAAGACAGAUGUGAAAUCCCCGGGCUCAACCUGGGACCUGCAUUUGUGACUGUAUAGCUAGAGUACGGUAGAGGGGGAUGGAAUUCCGCGUGUAGCAGUGAAAUGCGUAGAUAUGCGGAGGAACACCGAUGGCGAAGGCAAUCCCCUGGACCUGUACUGACGCUCAUGCACGAAAGCGUGGGGAGCAAACAGGAUUAGAUACCCUGGUAGUCCACGCCCUAAACGAUGUCAACUGGUUGUUGGGUCUUCACUGACUCAGUAACGAAGCUAACGCGUGAAGUUGACCGCCUGGGGAGUCGGCCGCAAGGUUGAAACUCAAAGGAUUGACGGCNGAGAGNGCGACGACGACGACGAGGGAGGAGG